rnacentral:lncRNA from 1 species
UAAUAUCACAGUGAGUAACAAUUACCAUGAACACAAUUUUUACUAUCUUACUAAUAGACCAAUGAAUAAAGAAGAAAUAAAUUAUUUUGCGAACAAUUCACUUGAUACACAUGGUAUGGAUAGUGAAAUAAAAAAAUCUACCGAUGGCACAUUAAGCUGUGGUAACAAUAUAUAUAAACUAUCGGAUAAAAGUGACAGUAAUAGUAGUAACAACGUUUCAAUAUGUGAUACUAUAAAGGAAAUGAAAAUAAGUAAAACAAAUAAAAAUAAAGAGUUGUUACAAAAUAAUAUAGAUUAUACUUAUAUACAUGAUGAAGAAAAAAAAAAUAGAAAGAUUGUUAAUAUAAUUAAUAACAGUUCGAACGGUGCUAUUAAAAAUGUAUAUACUAAUGGGAAACAUAAUAAUGAUAAUAGUAGUAGUAUUAAAGACACAUUAGAUAAUAAAAAGAAUAUGGCUAUGAGUAAAUUAAAUAAUAUGAACUUAAACAUAAGCAACACUAUUUCUUAUGACGAAAAUACUAGUUUCAAUUUACUUUUAAAUAGUUCUAAAAAUAUAUUUAAUGCAUCACAAAAUAAUAACAUAAAAAUGGACUUAGAAAAAUUAAACAAAAUUAUUAAUUUUUCUAAUAAUGUAAAUAAAAAUAAGCAAACAGGUGGACUUCCACUUGAGCAGGGAAAUAUCACCAGUAAUAACAAAAACGAAAACAAUAAUAACAAAAACAAUAAUAACAAAAACAAUAAUAACAAAAACAGUAAUAACAAAAACAAUAAUAACAAAACAUGUACUAGUUACACGAAUUAUGAGCAUGUGAAGAUACAAAAUAAUAAAAUAAAUUAUGCUCAUAAUUGUAUGGAAUCACAUAAAAAGUGUAAUGUUAUCGUGCAGAACAAACAUAAUAGUACGAAUAGCAAAAAUAAAAACAAGGAAACUAGUAGCGACGGUAGUACUAUCGGUAGUAGUGGUGAAAGUAGUUGUGAAAAAUUAAAUGUUAAUGAAGAUAAUACAAAUUUAUACAACGUUAUUAAACGUAAUAGUAAUGGAGAACAAAAUGAAAGUAAUGCAAAAAAUAAAAAAAUAAAAAAAAGCAACAAAGAUAACAAAAGUAGUCAAAAUGUAUACAUUACUAACAAAAGUAACAAUUGUAAUAACAAAAAUGAUAAAAAGAGUAACAACACGCAUAAAGAAAAAAAUAAUGGAAAAAAAAUAAACAAGGAUGUUUAUAAGCAAGUAGAGAGAAUAGAAAAUGAUAACAAUAGUAGUAGUGGUAAUGGUAACAAUAUUAAUGACCAUAUUAUGAAUGACAACGACAGUUGUAACAAGUUGAGUGAUAAAAAUAGUAAAGACAACAGUGUCGUUGAGCAUGUUAGUAUAAAUAAUGAUGGUGAAUAUGAAAAUAAAGAUAAGCAAAGUUAUUAUAAAAACGGUAAAAAAGGCGAGCAGAGUAUCAGCCAAAAUUGUAAUAUAAUAGAACUAAACCAAGUGAAUCAACCAAACCAACUAAGCCAACCAAAUAAACUAAGCCAACCAAAUAAACUAAGCCAACCAAAUCAACAUAAAAACGUGAAUCGAAAAAACAAGAAAAAUAAAAAAAGUGAUAGUAGCAAAAUUCCAAAUAAUACGAAAAGUGUCAAAAAUGAAGUGAAAAUGAAGAAUAUAUAUGUUGCUAAUGCAGAGAGCAAUAGUAGUAGUAACACUGUAGUUGCAGCACCAAACGGCAUUCCGUUCGGUAAAAAGAGUGGUAGUAAUAAUAAUGCAGCCAUUAUAAAUGUAUUAAAAAAUUAUAAAGUUAAUGACAAUAAUAUAAAUGAUAACAAUAGCAAUAGCAAUAGCAAUAGCAACAGUAAUAGCAAUCGUAACAGUAAUAGCAAUAGUAACAGUAAUAGCAAUAGUAACAGUAAUAGCAAUAGCAACAGUAAUAGCAAUAGCAACAGUAAUAGCAAUAGCAACAGUAAUAGUAAUAGCAACAGUAAUAGCAACAUCAAUAGCAAUAACAAUAGUAAUAGCAGUAGCAAUACUAAUUCGAAUUUGUUAAAAAAAAAAAAUUAUAUGAACGAAAUUGAUAUGUUGCUGCUUCAGGAAAAUAUUGGCAUACUGGAAGAACAAAAUUGCAUAAACAGGAGCAAAUGUUCUGAUGGUUAUAAAAAUAAUAAUAAUAAUGGUGGUAACAGCAAUAACAGCAAUAACAGUAGUAACAGCAAUAACAGUAGUAACAGCAAUAACAGUAAUAACAGCAACAGUAAUAGUAACAGCAACAACAGUAGUAACAGCAACAACAGUAGUAACAGCAACAACAGUAGUAACAGCAACAACAGUGGUAAUGUAGCAGCAGUUAAAGACAAUAUGAGUAUUAUGACAAGCACGAGUGAUGGGGCAUACUCAAAUGUUUUAAAUUUAAAUAAUACGCUGAAUAUCCUAAAUAAUAACCUUUAUAACAUUUUUAACAAUUCAUUUAAUAAAGCAAGUAAUAACGAUUUUGUGGGUAUAUGUAAAGAUUCUACAAAUACAAAUAAACUUAAUGAAAAUAUAAAUUUACUUCAAAUGAAAAAGGGUAUAAACAAUGACAUAACGGUUAAUGGUAAUAUGUAUAAUAAAUUAAAUCAGACUACAUUUAACGCUAACUUUGCAGGUUCUAAUAAACUGAAGCAUUUACCGUAUGUGCACACAUCUUUAUACGAAAAAAAAGAAGAAGCGACAAAUAAAACAAAUCCAACAAGUGUACAUCCAAACUGUUACUUAAGUGCAAACAUAGGCUCACACUCUAAUGCUGACACAAAUACAGACACACAUUCGAACUACAUAAAUGAUUCAUCUAAGAGUAAAUACAAAAUGAGUGAUUUAAAUAAUAUAAACAAUCCAAUAAACAAAGGUUAUACAAAAACUUUUACCAACAAUAAUACAAAUUUUUUAUAUGAAACGAAAAAAAAUACGAUUAACAAAUACAAUACGAAACAUAAUAUGCUAAAUGAGCAAACAGUUAAUGAUAAAAUCAAUAUGAAGGUUGGGCAGAAUGUGGUUAUAAAUGGUGAUAAUACAACUAACAAUUUUAAUAAAAGUAUGAGUAUAAAUAUGGUAAACAAUGGAAAUAAUGGUAUUAGAAAUGGUACUAGUGGCAGUGGUAGUGCCAAUACCAGCGUGAGUGAUAAUUCCAAAUAUCCAAACAAACACAAUAUAAACAAUAACAACAACAUAAAUAAACACUAUGACAUAAGCUCAAACACACAGUCUAGAAAUGGAAAUGAAAAUAAAACAAAAGGCAAAAUAGAAAAUAAUAUUUUAUUAAAAAAAAGUAGUAAUGAAAAUAUGUUUGUAGAACGUCCUGUAAUAUUAAACAAUUCUCAAAUGUUAGAAGCGUUUAUGCAAGGAAGGUUAUGUUUAAGUUGUGAUUCGUUAGAUCAUCCAAUGCCAUUAUGUCCUAAUAAUUCUUUUGUUUGUCCAAAUUGUCAUAAUGUUUCACACAGAGGAAAUGAUUGCCCCAUGAGUUGUCGUUUUUGUUUAAAACAUCAUGUGGGUAUAUCUAUUAUGGAUUGUUUGAAAAGGGCUAGGAUACAAAAUGAAAAAAUACUUAUUAAUAAUAAUGAUAAAAAUGAUAUGAACAAAAUAAAUAAAACUAAUAAAAAUAAUAUAGAUAAGAGUAAUAUAGGGCCUAUAUUUGACAUAAGUACAAGACCUGAUAAUUCAUACGGAAGGAGUGUUUAUGUAUCUAAUUUAAAUCAUGAUAUAACUAACAAUCAAUUAAGAGAUGCAAUUAAUCAAAGUUUAGAUAAUGGGUUUGUUGUUCAUAUUGAUAGACAAGAUGGAUAUGCAUUUGUUGAAUUGUCAAAUUUAAAUUCAACAUUUCAGUUAGUGCAAAAGUCUAUUAAUAUUAAUUAUAAGAAAUUAAAAAUACAAUUUAAAAAAACAGGUCAGUUUUUAGUACCAGAUAAUUUAUCUAUUAGUUAUACUAUGUCAACAGAAUUUCCCAAGGUUGCAAAUGCAACUACUACUACUACUACUACUGCUGCUACUGCUGCUACUGCUGCUACUGCUGCUACUGCUGCUACUGCUGCUGCUGCUGCUGCUGCUACUCCUGUUGCUGUCACACUUGGUAACACAAUUAACAAAGUGACACACUUAAAUAAAAAAUUAAACCGAACUAUGUUAAAUAUUUCGAACAAAAAAAAUACAAAUAAUUGCUUAAACAAUACUUUAGUUAACGAUGGGAAUACUCUACCUGUAGGCAAUUUUAAUAAAUUGUUAAAAAAUAAUAAUUUGACCAGAUUGAGUAGUGGUAGUAAUAGCAACAGUAAUGCUAUUACUAAUAACAACAAAACUAAUAAUGCUGCAACUAUUACAAGUGUAAAUGCUAGUAAUAAUGGUGUGUCAGGUUUCGAACCAGUUGAAAUUAGCAAAAAUAUGCAUAUGUAUAAAAAUACGUAUGCAAAGCAAUCAAAAGUGAUACACUACUUUAAUCAAACACAACUCUCUACACAACAAAAAAAGCAUAAACAGAAUGAGAAUCUUAAAACCAACACAAGUAACAUUGUUCAUUAUAUUCCUCCGACGGAUAAAGAUUUUAACAUGAAGAUGUUUACAAAUACGAAGCAGAAUAAAAUACAAAAUGAUAAAAAUGAUAAAAAUGAUAAAAAUGAUAAAAAUGAUAAAAAUGAUAAAAAUGAUAGCAAAUGUAAUUUUAUGUAUAAUGUUGAUAAUGAUAGUGCCAUGUUAGUGGGAGAACAGGGUAAAAAGGGUAAAACUUGGAACGCUAAUGGAUAUGCGAAUGGAUAUGCGAAUGGAUAUACGAAUGGAUAUACGAGUGGCUGCACGAGUGGCUGCACGAAUGGAUAUACGAAUGGCAGCACGAAUGGAUAUACGAAUGGCAGCGCGAAUGGCUACGCGAAUGGCUGCACAGAUGGCUACACAAAUGGCUAUACAAAUGGCUACACGAAUGGCUACACGAAUGGCUACAGGAAUAGUGGAAAUAAUUAUAAUAACCAUGACAAUAACAACUACAAUAACAACUACAACAACAGCUACAACAACAGCUACAAUAACAGCUACAAUAACAACGUGAAUUCCCUAAUUAAGAAUACAGCAAGUGGCAAUUAUCAUUUAAUAAAAAACAAUGACUCGUGUAAUGACACGAUAAAAAAUGAAUUUGAUUAUAAAUAUGUGGAUGAUAAAGGUUCAGAUAACUGUCUAAAAAAUAAUUCACAUGAUGGUAAUAGUAACCGUACUAAUGCUAACAACACUGGUAGUAACACUUUAUCUUCUAUAUACUCG